AGUAGUUUGAUCCGUGGCUCAGGACGAACGCUGGCGGCGUGCUUAACACAUGCAAGUCGAACGAGAAUCUGCGGAAAGAGUUUUCGGACAAUGGAAGCAGAGGAAAGUGGCGGACGGGUGAGUAACGCGUGAGGAACCUGCCUUGGAGAGGGGGACAACAGCUGGAAACGGCUGCUAAUACCGCAUAACAUAUUGAGAGGACAUCCUCUUAAUAUCAAAGGAGCAAUCCGCUGUAAGAUGGCCUCGCGUCUGAUUAGAUAGUUGGUGAGGUAACGGCCCACCAAGUCAACGAUCAGUAGCCGGACUGAGAGGUUGAACGGCCACAUUGGGACUGAGACACGGCCCAGACUCC
rnacentral:rRNA from 1 species